rnacentral:rRNA from 1 species
GUUGUUGCAGUUAAAAAGCUCGUAGUUGUAUUUUGACCUUGGACAGGCGAUCGGCUUCUGUCGUAUUGCCCUUCCUUGGUCUUCCUUCUGUGGACUGUCCUAUUAAGUUAGGGCGUGGACGCAGAUCGUUUACUGUGAGUAAAUUAGAGUGUUCAAAGCAGGCCAUACGCUUGAAUACAUUAGCAUGGAAUAAUAGAAUAGGACGUCGGGUCUAUUUUGUUGGUUUAGGAACCGUCGUAAUGAUUAAUAGGGACAGUUGGGGCCGUUUAUAUUCCGUAGUCAGAGGUGAAAUUCUUGGAUUUACGGAAGAUAAACUACUGCGAAAGCAUUCGGCAAGGAUGUUUUCGUUAAUCAAGAACGAAAGUUAGGGGAUCGAAGACGAUCAGAUACCGUCGUAGUCUUAACCAUAAACUAUGCCGACUCGGGAUCAGCAAGAGUCGUUUUCGACCUUGCUGGCACCGUGUGAGAAAUCAAAAGUCUUUGGGUUCCGGGGGGAGUAUGGUC